rnacentral:rRNA from 1 species
AUUGGCCCGCCCUCUUGUCAAAGCCUGACCUCAACAGAUCUCAGAAGCUCAGCAGGGCUGGGCCUGGUUAGUACUUGGAUGGGAGGCCACUGGGAAUACCUUGCCUGAACAGCCAGUC